rnacentral:sRNA from 1 species
GCCGUCACUCGCCCGGUCGGCUCCGGACGGGCCGUAGCCGCUCUCCCGGGAGGACCGAGCGCGGCUUGUCUCUGGCGGCGGCGGGGCGGGCACCUCGGUUUGGCGCUCUUCGCGCCGCCUCCGCCGGGGCCUCGGGCUCGGGCAGGGACGGGUCGGUGGCGUUCCCGGAGCGUUAACGAGUAAACUGUGUCUGUCUCCACAGCCGCCUCUUCGGGUUCGUGAGGUUUCAUGAAGAUGGCGCCAGGACGAAGGCCCUACUGGGCAAGGCUGUUCGCUGCUAUGAAUCUCUAAUCUUAAAAGCUGAAGGAAAAGUGGAGUCUGAUUUCUUUUGUCAAUUAGGUCACUUCAACCUCUUAUUGGAAGAUUAUCCAAAAGAAUGCUGCCUUUUUAUAUGGUCUUGGUUUGGUCUACUUCCAUUAUAAUGCAUUUCAGUGGGCAAUUAAAGCAUUUCAGGAGGUGCUUUAUGUUGAUCCCAGCUUUUGUCGAGCCAAGGAAAUUCAUUUACGACUUGGGCUUAUGUUCAAAGUGAACACAGACUAUGAGUCUAGUUUAAAGUUCAAUUUCACAUUGCCCACUUAUAUGAAACCCAGGUAAGUAUUUUAACUUAUUCUGUUUAAAACAAAAGCCAACAAAAAGCAUCACUCCUAUCAUGCUUUACUGAAAUCAGAAGUGUACAGAUAAUUUAAUGGAGUUCUGGGCGUUACUUCUUAGGUAAAUUUUGUAUUUUAUACUCAUUAAAUGUGAUCAAGAUGCUGCUUAGUAAAACAGUUAUUCC